CGCCUCUUGCUAAAUUAUAAGAGGUCCCGCCUGCCCUGUGACUUAGUUUUAACGGCCGCGGUACCUUAACCGUGCAAAGGUAGCACAAUCAAUCGUCCUCUAAAUAGGGACUAGUAUGAAUGGCACCACGAAGGCAUAACUGUCUCCCCCCUCUAAUCAAUGAAACUGAUUUUCUCGUGAAGAAGCGAGAAUAUAAUUAUAAGACGAGAAGACCCCAUGGAGCUUUAAACCCAUCACCACCUGCCUACUAUACACCAAAGAACUCAGCAGCUCUGUUCUCAUGAUGGUUUUCGGCUGGGGUGGCCUUGGAGUAAAACAAACCCUCCAAACUGAACGGAAUAAGCCCCUAAUUAUAGAACUACUAUUCAAAAACUCAAAACUUUGACAUAAUUGACCCAAUAAAUUGAUCAACGAACCAAGUUACCCUGGGGAUAACAGCGCAUUCCAUUUCAAGAGCCCCUAUCGACAAAUGGGUUUACGACCUCGAUGUUGGAUCGGGGUAUCCUAGCGGCGCAGCCGUUGCUAAAGGUUCGUUUGUUCAACGAUUAAUAAC
rnacentral:rRNA from 1 species